GAUGAACGCUGGCGGCGUGCCUAAUACAUGCAAGUCGAGCGAACAGAUGAGGAGCUUGCUCCUCUGACGUUAGCGGCGGACGGGUGAGUAACACGUGGAUAACCUACCUAUAAGACUGGGAUAACUUCGGGAAACCGGAGCUAAUACCGGAUAAUAUAUUGAACCGCAUGGUUCAAUAGUGAAAGACGGUUUUGCUGUCAUUUAUAGAUGGAUCCGCGCCGCAUUAGCUAGUUGGUAAGGUAACGGCUUACCAAGGCAACGAUGCGUAGCCGACCUGAGAGGGUGAUCGGCCACACUGGAACUGAGACACGGUCCAGACUCCUACGGGAGGCAGCAGUAGGGAAUCUUCCGCAAAGGGCGAAAGCCUGACGGAGCAACGCCGCGUGAGUGAUGAAGGUCUUCGGAUCGUAAAACUCUGUUAUUAGGGAAGAACAAAUGUGUAAGUAACUAUGCACGUCUUGACGGUACCUAAUCAGAAAGCCACGGCUAACUACGUG
rnacentral:rRNA from 1 species